rnacentral:rRNA from 1 species
UACAGAGGUGCCGAGCGUUAGGCGGAAUCGCUGGGCUUAAAGCGUGUGUAGGCGGACUUCUAAGUACCUUGUGAAAUCCCACGGCUCACCCGUGGAACUGCUGGGUAUACUGGUCGUCUUGAGCCACCUAGGGGCCAGCGGAACAAAUGGUGGAGCGGUGAAAUGCGUAGAGAUCCGGAAGAACACCGGUGGCGAAGGCGGUCUGCUGGGCAGUUGCUGACACUGAGGCGUGACAGCGUGGGGAGCAAACAGG